AGUUGUCUGUCAAUCUUUCCUUCUCUCUCUCUCUCUCUAAAAUUCCCUUUCUUGACCUCUCAGCCCUCACAGCAGAACUGCAGAUUUUAACACAGAAACUUUUCUUUCCCAUCUCUGUCUGAGCCUCUCUCUGAGCAGGAAGGAGGAGAGAGGCACAGCACAGGAAUAGAGAGAUGCUGGAACCAACUAUUUUACUUCUAGUUUUGAUUUCUUUUGUGUUUCCUCUUCUCUACACUCUUGUCUGUGCAAACAUUUCACCAGGAGCAACCCUUACGCCCUCAAACUCCAACAACAAGUGGGUAUCUCCAAACGGUACUUUCUCUCUGGGAUUCAUCUCCAUCACCUCAGCCAAUUCACCUUCCUUCGCCGCUGCAAUCUCCUACUACGGUAUUCCAGUCUGGAAAGCCGGAGGCGAUUCUGGCACCGUUGACUCUAAUGGAGUCUUUCAGUUCCGCCAAAACGGCGAUCUUCGUCUGCUCAACGGUAACGGUAGCGUCGUCUGGGAAUCCGGCACCGCUAAUCGUGGGAUUACAACUGCAACACUGGACGAUUCAGGUAAUCUCUCUCUGAUGAACGUCUCUGCUACUGUUUGGUCUACUUUCGAUAACCCAACAGAUACGAUUCUACCGACCCAGAAUUUUAGUACUGCGAUGGUUCUUCAAUCUGGGUUGUACUCUUUUAAUCUUCUUAGCUCGGGUAACCUUACUCUCAAAUGGAACAACAGCAUAGUGUACUGGAACCAAGGUUUAAAUUCUAGUUAUUCGAACUUGACUUCACCUAGUUUGACCAUCCAAUCUAUUGGAACUGUUACGCUUUAUGAUCCCACGCUUUCUGCCCCUGCGAUUAUGGUUUAUAGCAGUGAUUAUGGAGAGGGUACCGAUGUUCUUAGGUUUCUGAAGUUGGAUUCUGAUGGGAAUUUAAGGAUUUAUAGCUCUACUAGGAGUUCUGGUGUGGAUGUUGAGAGAUGGGCUGCUUUCGCAGAUCAGUGUCGGAUUUUUGGGUACUGUGGUAACAUGGGCAUCUGUACCUAUAAUGAUACAACCCCUAUUUGUGGUUGCCCAUCUGAGAAUUUUGCUCUUGUGGAUCCGAAUGAUAGCAGAAAGGGGUGUCAGAGGAAGGUGGGGCUUGAAACUUGCCCUGAUAGCGCUACCAUGUUGCAAUUGGACCAUGCCCAGUUCCUGACUUACCCUCCUGAGAUCUCUAGCCAGGUCUUCUAUGUUGGGAUUUUUGCUUGUUCGUUGAAUUGCCUUCAGGGACCAUGCACGGCAUCCACCUCCCUAGCUGAUGGAACGGGCGAGUGUUACAUUAAAGUUUCAAACUUCAUUAGUGGGUAUGUUUCACCGGCGCUUCCCAGUACUUCUUUUGUAAAGGUCUGUGGUCCAGCAAUCCCAAACCCGCCUCCAUCCGACGGUGCAGGUGGUAGUAUGGCAUGGAAGUUGCCCCCAUGGGUAGUCCUUCUUGUGGUUGCAGGUACUCUGCUGGGCUUGGUCCUUUUGGAGGGAGGACUGUGGUGGUGGUGCUGUAGGAACAGCCCCAAGUUUGGCAGAUUGUCGACUCAGUAUGCACUUCUUGAAUAUGCUUCUGGUGCACCAGUCCAGUUUUCAUAUAAGGAGCUCCAGCGCUCCACUAAGGGGUUCAAGGAGAAGCUUGGAGCAGGAGGGUUUGGGGCUGUAUACAAAGGGAUUCUUGCCAAUAAAACCAUGGUUGCAGUGAAGCAACUUGAAGGGAUUGAGCAAGGAGAAAAGCAGUUCAGGAUGGAGGUUGCAACCAUAAGUAGUACUCACCAUUUGAAUUUGGUGAGGUUGAUUGGGUUCUGCUCUGAAGGUCGUCACAGGCUGUUGGUUUAUGAGUUCAUGAAAAAUGGAUCCCUUGAUAACUUUCUCUUCACUUCAGAAGAGCCAUCGGGGAGAUUGUUGGAUUGGGAGGCUCGGUUCAACAUCGCGCUUGGGACUGCAAGGGGAAUCACCUACCUUCAUGAAGAGUGUCGGGACUGCAUUGUCCAUUGUGACAUAAAGCCAGAGAAUAUUCUUUUGGAUGAUAACUAUAAUGCCAAGGUCUCAGAUUUUGGCCUUGCAAAGCUUAUAAAUCCAAAAGACCAUAGGUAUCGGACCAUAACAAGUGUCAGAGGAACGAGAGGAUAUUUGGCACCAGAGUGGCUUGCCAACCUUCCAAUAACUUCCAAAUCUGAUGUCUACAGCUACGGUAUGGUGUUGUUGGAGAUAGUGAGUGGGCGAAGGAAUUUCGAAGUCUCUGAAGAUACAGGUCGGAAGAAAUUUUCUUUGUGGGCAUAUGAAGAGUUUGAUAGGGGAAAUGUAGAGAACAUUGUUGAUAAAAGACUGGCUGAACACGGGAUGGAUAUGGAGCAAGCGAUCAGAGCAAUUCAGGUUAGCUUCUGGUGCAUCCAGGAGCAGCCAUCUCAGAGGCCGGUGAUGGGGAAAGUGGUGCAGAUGCUGGAAGGUGUUACAGCAACUGAGAAACCACCAGCGCCAAAGGCCACAACGGAAGGGUCUGUGAGUGGCAACAGCAUGAAUGUCAGCAGUACUGUCAGUGGCCUCUCCACUUUUGCAACUUCAGUCCCAGUUGCCUCCUCAUCUUCAUCAUUUCAAGCCAUGGGAGUUUCAUCAUCUCUGUCAGAAUGAGCAGCUUUUUUGUUAAUUGUAAUCAGAAUGAGCAACGGCUUGGCAUGGUGGUUGUGGGUUCAAGUUUGGAAACAGCAUCUCUGUGAAGUGGGGGUAAGGCUGCAUACAUUAUGACCCUCCCUAGACCCCGCAAUGGCUGAAACCUUGUGCACUGGGUACGUCCUGUAAUCAGAAUGAGCAGCAUGGAUCAUGGUUGUAUCGGGAGUAGAAAUUAGUUCUAGCCCAAGUAGGACUAUUUUUUGACCAAGUCUAUGUUAAGUGUAAGUAACAUUGAUUUCUCAUGGGAGUUUGGUUUUAUCCUCUCACAAGUCAGUAAGACCCCUUUGACAUUUCCUCAACAAGACUAGAGCACUAAGAUUUUUUUCUUCUUCAUCUAUCUCAGACCAGCAUCAAAGAGCGAUGGAUCUCUGUAAUUUAAACUCCCCCCACCCUAGAAACCUUUUGCUACUCUGUACAUCUGGAGUUUUUUCCUUUUUGAUAAAACAUCUGGAGUUGCUAUUGAGAAUCUGGAUGAGAUGAAGCAUAUGUAACUACUAAGAAGUGAAGCCUUGGACACUUGAAUGAAUU